GUGCUCACUUCAGCAGCAUAUAUAGUAAAAUUGGAGCAAUACAGAGAAGAUUAGCAUGACCCCUGUGCAAGGAUGACAUGCAAAUCUGUGAAGUGUUCCAUAUGAAU